rnacentral:rRNA from 1 species
AAACCAACAGGGAUUGCCUCAGUAACGGCGAGUGAAGCGGCAAGAGCUCAAAUUUGAAAGCUGGCCCCUUCGGGGUCCGCGUUGUAAUUUGCAGAGGAUGCUUCGGGUGCAGCCCCCGUCUAAGUGCCCUGGAACGGGCCGUCAUAGAGGGUGAGAAUCCCGUCUGGGACGGGGUGUCUGCGUCCGUGUGAAGCUCCUUCGAAGAGUCGAGUUGUUUGGGAAUGCAGCUCUAAAUGGGUGGUAAAUUUCAUCUAAAGCUAAAUACUGGCCGGAGACCGAUAGCGCACAAGUAGAGUGAUCGAAAGAUGAAAAGCACUUUGAAAAGAGAGUUAAACAGCACGUGAAAUUGUUGAAAGGGAAGCGUUUGCGACCAGACUCGCCCGCGGGGUUCAGCCGGCAUUCGUGCCGGUGUACUUCCCCGUGGGCGGGCCAGCGUCGGUUUGGGCGGCCGGUCAAAGGCCCUCGGAAUGUAUCACCUCUCGGGGUGUCUUAUAGCCGAGGGUGCAAUGCGGCCUGCCCGGACCGAGGAACGCGCUUCGGCUCGGACGCUGGCGUAAUGGUCGUAAAUGAC